UUGGCCUUGACAUACUAAGAACUUUCCAGAGAUGGAUUGGUGCCUUCGGGAACUUAGAUACAGGUGCUGCAUGGCUGUCGUCAGCUCGUGUCGUGAGAUGUUGGGUUAAGUCCGCAACGAGCGCAACCCUUUUCCUAUUUGCCAGCGGGUAAUGCCGGGAACUUUAAGGAUACUGCCAGUGACAAACUGGAGGAAGGCGGGGACGACGUCAAGUCAUCAUGGCCCUUACGGCCAGGGCUACACACGUGCUACAAUGGUCGGUACAAAGGGUUGCUACCUCGCGAGAGGAUGCUAAUCUCAAAAAGCCGAUCGUAGUCCGGAUCGCAGUCUGCAACUCGACUGCGUGAAGUCGGAAUCGCUAGUAAUCGCGGAUCAGAAUGCCGCGGUGAAUACGUUCCCGGGCCUUGUACACACCGCCCGUCACACCAUGGGAGUUUGUUGCACCAGAAGUAGGUAGUCUAACCGCAAGGAGGACGCUUACCACGGUGUGGCCGAUGACUGGGUGAAGUCGUAACAAGGUAAGCGUAGAUGA
rnacentral:rRNA from 1 species